CCUCCUCCUGACCAUCCCUCAGCAGCUAUUCCCAGAGAAGGCUGGAGGGAGCUCAAAGAAAAGCCGCCUUGGAACAGACUCACCUGGAACUCAUGGACUCCUUUGAGCCUGCAGUGCCGGGGGCCCUGGUGUUUCUCUCUGAGCCGUGAUUUUAUUUAGCUUGAGCGCGGCAUUCUGAACAGGGUGCUAAGGGAAAUUUACAGACUAGAUUAGACAUGGUUUUUACCCUCAGGAAUUUCACAAUUUAAUGGAGGAAAUAAGAUUAACACACAGUCAAUUAAGAGAAAGUAGAUACACAUGUACACAUAAAAAUAUUGAUUUAAGUUUGGGAAAGAGGAGAUAGGGGCAAAGGAUUUAGAUGCUAAUCAGCCAAGUCUUGCAGACUUUGCAGCCUUCACGUGCAUUCAUCUGAGUGGAUGGAAAGCUCACCGUGAGCGGAAAGAAAGAAAGGGGACAGCUUUGCAAGGAGAGAUUCCUCUUUUCUCCCACUCCACUCACCCACAAAUGGCCCCGGAGCAGAAGCAACUGCGUGCUCAGCGAUUCUAAGUCAUGUCUGUGUGACUGGCCAGCUGGGUUAUUGGAUGAUGCUGUGGAGACAUUUUCACUUGGCCUUCUAGUCAUCUGAGUACAUACCGUGAAAAGUACAGUACAGCAGCUGGCACACAGAGGAACGUUCACAUCUUUGAAAGUUCACAACUUGAAGGUGUGACUAUGGAAUCAUCAAACUGAAAAUUGACUAAACAGAUAGUCUCUAUCUAUAAUACUCUAAUGUAAAUGAUCUGAUAAGACCCAAGCAAAACAUUUCAUCCGUGAACCUCCAGUAUUGUUACUCUUAGCAUCUUCUUUAGUAACUAAUAUCAAGAAAAGCCUCAAGCAUGUUUCCCCUAGUUUUUACUGUUGUUAAUUCCACCUGUUUGCUUAUUACCUACAAUACAGUUGAUAUAAAUAUGUAUUUUUCUUUUUUUGAAAAUAAAAUUUUUUCACCGCCGCGCACACCAACACGUUGCCGGUCACCGACAGCGCGGCCAGAGCCAGCUCCAGCGCCACGUACACCGCGUCCUGCGCCUCCAGCGGCAUCGCCGCCCGGCCCGCCUCGGGCUCGCCCCACCUGGCUUCCCGGAGCGCCCGGCCCGCGCUCGCCCCUCCGCGUCUGAGCCCGGGGCUCCGUAUUUUUCUUUAAGUAGUGUGGAUUAUUUUGCUACACAGAAACCUAUUUAUUCCUAUUAUUAACAUUGGUUCGCAUCUGAAAGUCUUCAACAAUGGCUGUUUAUAAGCUGAAACAUAAAACAUCAUCAACAAUGGAGCAACAGGAACUCUCAUUCAUUGCUGGUGGGAGUGGAAAAUGGGACAGCCACUUCUGAAGAAUGUUUGGCAGUUUCUUACAAACCUAAACAUACCUUUAGUAUACAAUCUAGUAACUGAGCUCCUUGAUGAUGUUCAAAUAAUUUGAAAACUUACUUCUAUGUCAAAUGAAAGACGCCAAUCUGAAAAUACAUAUGAGUGCAACUAUGUAAUAUUCUGGAAAAAUAAAAUUUAUGGAGUCAGAGAAAAGCUCAUGGCUGCUAAGAGAUCUUGGGACAGAUGGAAGAAUAGAUGAAACACAGAGGAUUUUUAUGGCUGUGAAAAUACUUUGCAUGAUACCACAAUGAUUGGAAGCAUGUUUUAUUAUACCCUUAGGCAAAUUCGUAGAAUGUACAGCACAAAGAGUAAACUCUAAUGUAGACUAUGGACUUGGGGCAGUCUAUGCCUGUUUAAUGAUUAUAACAAAUACACUACUCUUGAGAUGAGAUGUAAACUGGCUGCCUUAUUUAUUCACCAAAAACCCACCAGUCUCUUUACAAUGCUCACAGAUGUCAAAAUUGAGUCAUGUCGUCAGGAAUUAAAACAUCCUUACUUGCGAGUCUUCCAACUUUAUUUAGUAGCCUCUCACAGCUAUAUAUAAUAUUCACAUUUUGAUGAUUUGUAGGGAUAGCACAGAAAGUCUAUAUCUGUAGAGGUUUAUGGUAACUAGGAUCUGGAUUUGUGUUCAGACAAGCAGAGGUGCUGGUUGUGAUCAAACACAGUUUAUAAUCCCAAAUUUAUGGCUCAAAGCAAUUUUCACCUUUUGUUCUUCAUCAUGUAAACUCUCUAUGUUAUUCAUCACUAUUUAAAACUGAAUGUAGUCAUAACUAAUAUCAAAAUGGUGUCUGAUACACAGUAGAUGUUAAGUAAAUCUUUUCUAGAUUGAUGACUUGCAUAAAUCUGCCAUAUUUCUUCUUGCACAACUUUCCUCAUUUUUUUUCUUGCAUGAGUUUCCUUUCAAUGUGUUAUGCAGAAUAAUUAUCUAUGUUAGUCAUUCUUAACAAUCCAGUAUCUUCCUUCAAUAAACAUAAACGCCAGAGGGCUAGCAUAUGCUGUAGAAAUAAAGUCUCUUCAGUAAGUGGUGCUGAGAAAACUGGAUAGCUCCAUGUUAAAGAAUGAAAUUAGAACAUCCUCUAACACCAUACAAAAAUAAACUCAAUAUGGAUUAAAGACCUAAAUGCAUGAGCAGAUUAUAUAAAACUCCUAGAGUAAAAUAUAAGCAGAAUACUCUUUGACCCAAAUCACAACAAUAUCUUUUUCAAUCUGUCUCCUAGAGUAAUGGAAAUAAAAACAAACAAAUGGGACCUAAUUAAACUUAAAAGCUUUUGCAUAGCAAAGGAAACUAUAAACAAAGGAAAAGAAAAUCUACAGAAUGGGAGAAAGUAUUUGCAAACAAAGUGACCAACAAGGGAUUAAUCUCCAAAGUAUACAAACAACUCAUGCAGUUCUAUGUCAUAAAACAACCAAGCAAAAAAAUGAGAAGAGACCUAAAUAGAUGUUUUUCUUUCUCCAAAGAAAACAUAGAAAUGGCCAAAAGGCACAGGAAC
ensembl:lncRNA